AAGUUAUUUAUAUGAACCGCAUUGCAUGUGAGUCCCUCAUUUGGUGCGCUUAGCUGUUUUUCAAUUUGAUAUUGCUAGCUGCCUUGUGAAGGGCUUACGUGUGUUUGUAAUACAACAGAAAUAAGCU
rnacentral:precursor_RNA from 15 species